CAGCCGCCGCGGUAAUACGAAGGGGGCUAGCGUUGCUCGGAAUUACUGGGCGUAAAGGGAGCGUAGGCGGAUCGUUAAGUUGGGGGUGAAAGCCCGGGGCUCAACCUCGGAAUUGCCUUCAAUACUGGCGAUCUUGAGUAUGGAAGAGGUAUGUGGAACUCCGAGUGUAGAGGUGAAAUUCGUAGAUAUUCGGAAGAACACCAGUGGCGAAGGCGACAUACUGGUCCAUUACUGACGCUGAGGCUCGAAAGCGUGGGGAGCAAGCAGGAUUAGAUACCCCCGUAGUCCCUGUCUCUUAUAC
rnacentral:rRNA from 1 species